GCCUGCCCGGUGAUUUUGUGUUAAACGGCCGCGGUAUUCUGACCGUGCGAAGGUAGCAUAAUCAUUUGCUUUAUAAUUGAAGGCUUGUAUGAAGGGUUUGACGAGAGCAAUGCUGUCUUAAUUGGAUUUUUUAGAAUUUAACUUUCAAGUGAAGAGGCUUGGAUUUGAUUAAUAGACAAGAAGACCCUAUCGAGCUUAAAAGAACUGGUGGGUGGAGUAGUGUGUUUAUAUAACUGAAAUUUGCUGGGGUAUUUUAGUUGGGGCGACUGAGGAACAUGAGUAGCUUCUUUAGAAAUUAUGGGGUUAUUACUGAGGAUCCAAUAUUAGGUUAUUGAUGUUAGAUUUAGUUACCGUAGGGAUAACAGCAUAAUCUUUUUUGAGAGUUCUUAUCGAAAGAAGGGUUUGUGACCUCGAUGUUGGAUUAAAAUUACCUAGGGGCGUAGAAGUUUU
rnacentral:rRNA from 1 species